rnacentral:rRNA from 1 species
UACGGGGGGGGCAAGCGUUGUUCGGAAUUACUGGGCGUAAAGGGUUCGUAGGUGGCUUGUUAAGUCAGACGUGAAAUCCCUCAGCUUAACUGGGGAACUGCGUCUGAGACUGGUGAGCUUGAGUGCAGGAGAGGAACGCGGAAUUCCAGGUGUAGCGGUGAAAUGCGUAGAUAUCUGGAGGAACACCGGUGGCGAAGGCGGCAUCCUGGACCAACACUGACGCUGAGGAGCGAAAGCCAGGGGAGCAAACGGG